AGUGAACGCUGGCGGUAGGCCUAACACAUGCAAGUCGAACGGCAGCACAGUAAGAGCUUGCUCUUACGGGUGGCGAGUGGCGGACGGGUGAGGAAUACAUCGGAAUCUACUUUUUCGUGGGGGAUAACGUAGGGAAACUUACGCUAAUACCGCAUACGACCUACGGGUGAAAGCAGGGGAUCUUCGGACCUUGCGCGAUUGAAUGAGCCGAUGUCGGAUUAGCUAGUUGGCGGGGUAAAGGCCCACCAAGGCGACGAUCCGUAGCUGAUCUGAGAGGGUGAUCAGCCACACUGGAACUGAGACACGGCCCAGACUCCUACGGGAGGCAGCAGUGGGGAAUCUUGGACAAUGGGGGCAAGCCUGAUCCAGCCCUACCGCGUGGGUGAAGAAGGCCUUCGGGUUGUAAAGCCCUUUUGUUGGGAAAGAAAAGCAGCAGGUUAAUACCCCGCUGUUCUGACGGUACCCAAAGAAUAAGCACCGGCUAACUUCGUG
rnacentral:rRNA from 1 species